AUUGAACGCUGGCGGCAGGCCUAACACAUGCAAGUCGAACGAGUCGCGGACGGGUGGGUAAUGUCUGGGACACUGCCUGAUGGUGGGGGAUAACUAUUGGAAACGGUAGCUAAUACCGCAUACAAUCGGAUUGGCCCAGUUGGGAUUUGCUAGUUGGUGGGGUAACGGCUCACCUAGGCGCCGAUACCUAGCUGGUCUGAGAGGAUGACCAGCCACACUGGAACUGAGACACGGUCCAGACUCCUACGGGAGGCAGCAGUGGGGAAUAUUGGACAAUGGGCGAAAGCCUGAUGCAGCCAUGCCGCGUGUAUGAAGAAGGUCUUCGGGUUGUAAAGUACUUUCAGCGGGGAAGCGUUACCUACAGAAGAAGCACCGGCUAACUCCGUGCCAGCAGCCGCGGUAAUAC
rnacentral:rRNA from 1 species